GAGCCAUUAGCUCAGUCGGCAGAGCACCGGACUUUUAAUCCGGGCGUCCUGGGUUCGAAUCCCAGAUGGCUCACCA
rnacentral:tRNA from 1 species